CAGCCGCCGCGGUAAUACAGAGGGUGCAAGCGUUAAUCGGAAUUACUGGGCGUAAGGCGUGCGUAGGUGGUGGUUUAAGUCCGUUGUGAAAGCCCUGGGCUCAACCUGGGAAUUGCAGUGGAUACUGGGUCACUAGAGUGUGGUAGAGGAUAGUGGAAUUUCCGGUGUAGCAGUGAAAUGCGUAGAGAUCGGAAGGAACAUCUGUGGCGAAGGCGACUAUCUGGGCCAACACUGACACUGAGGCACGAAAGCGUGGGGAGCAAACAGGAUUAGAUACCCGAGUAGUCCCUGUCUCUUAUAC
rnacentral:rRNA from 1 species